GUUGAAACACCUGUUCCCGAAGUUAAGCAACGUCGAGCCUGGUUAGUAUCUAGAUGGGCGACCGCUUGGGAAUAGCAGAUGCUGCAAG